GUGCCAGUGCGUGAGCGUGCGCGUUCUUGCUGCCGCCAGUGUUGCUUCCGCCGUCCUCUGCCGCUGCUUCGGCUGUCGCCGCCCGGGAUCCUCAGGCCGAGCAGUAGGCCGGCCGGCUGCCCAGCACUGCCCCGGUGCGGAAAGCGGAGCCGCGGAACCCGUGGACCGGCGGGCGUGCCGACAGACUAACCUAACAUGGCUGACCAGAGGCAGCGCUCGCUCUCUACUUCCGGGGAAUCGUUAUACCAUGUUCUUGGACUGGACAAGAAUGCAACCUCGGAUGACAUUAAAAAGUCCUAUCGGAAACUGGCCCUGAAAUAUCACCCUGACAAGAACCCUGAUAACCCAGAGGCUGCAGACAAAUUUAAGGAGAUUAACAACGCCCACGCCAUCCUGACAGACGCCACGAAAAGAAACAUUUAUGACAAGUAUGGCUCGCUGGGGCUUUAUGUGGCUGAGCAGUUUGGGGAGGAGAACGUCAACACCUACUUCGUACUCUCCAGCUGGUGGGCCAAGGCACUGUUCGUUGUCUGUGGCCUCCUCACCUGCUGCUACUGCUGCUGCUGUUUGUGCUGUUGCUUUAACUGCUGCUGUGGGAAAUGCAAGCCCAAGGCACCUGAGGGUGAGGAGACAGAAUUCUACGUAUCCCCCGAAGACUUGGAGGCACAGCUGCAGUCUGAUGAAAGGGGAGGGCACUGACACUGUGCCGAGAGUGUUUGUGGUGGCAUCUGGGACUGUUGAGGUGUGAACGUGGACACUUGAGAGGCUACAGACACACCGAUCGUCAUACAGCCAGCGUCCGCCACAGAGACCACCCAGCUGACAGCCGACUCCCACCCCAGCUAUCACACCGACGGGUUCAACUAAGUCCAGGAGAGGCUGUGAUUAGAGGAUGAAUCAGCAUCUGGCCACUGCAACCUUAGAAUCAUGAACUGUAGUCACUGAGAUGGGAAGGCAGCCGUCAACCUGACCUGUUGUGGCUGGUCAGGGCCACUCCCACCUCCUCUAAGUCCACCCAUCUGUCAAUCCUUGAUACAUGAAGUGCGUAGCAUGCAGUAUUUAAAGCAGUGUAGCUACGGUCUUCUUCUGUUUUAUCCUUUUUUUAAUAGCAUGUAUGGGUUAUGUUCAAUGUCUGUGUUGUGGACGUGCUGCAGCUGGGCUGAAUUAACUGGAUGGUAGUGCUUUUUUGGGUUUUCAGCCAAGUGAGUCCAGUGAAGGUUCAGCUGUCUCCUUGUGCUUACAGGAGUCAGGUAAGCACCUGGAGCUACAUCUCCUUGUUGGCCUCUGUGUCCUGUGAUAUGGUCUAGUCCAUGGCUCUGAUCUCAUCCUCAAGGCUGCAGACAGGGCUCUGAUUUCACCUGCAAAGGAGGGAACUGGGCCCCGUCUUCAGGCACCACCAGCAUCAGUCAUUGGCACGGUGUUCGUGUUGGGAAGCUUUCAUAGGGUCUCUGCAUCAUCUCACUCGGCCUCGUGACAGUUUUCCUGUUAGAUCUGCUAUGGAGAGUGCAGGUAUGCCCCUUCUCAAAGUGGGAGCACACACUGUAAUGUUGCUGUCUUGGGUCUCCUGGCCUUGUGGACUGAAAUCCUGUCGUUGGAGGCAUGUCUCUUGCUGGUGUGUGGGAAAUCAUUUGUCUCUGUUCUGCACCUUUCCAGGUCAAAAGCUGGAUUGACGGGGCCACAGCCUCCUUCCCUCAUUCCUGGGUCAUCUUCCACAUUCCUUCAAGCCAACCUUUUAAUCUUUUUUGGACUUUUAAGAACCACAAACGGCAGCACCUGCCACUUAGUCCUAGUCAGAAAGUCUGAGUCUAGCUGUGGGUGGCAUGUAGCUGCUUAUGAAGACUUUGGGUGCCCAGGGUCCAGAACCUGCCCCUGUGCUGUGCUGGCCAGUGCCUCAUCCACCCACUUGCCCCCUGUGCUGUGCUUGCCAGUGCCCCAUCCACCCCACUUGCCCCCUGUGCUGUGCUGGCCAGUGCCCCAUCCACCCACUUGCCUUCGCUUCCACUUGUCAUCAUCAAUGCCUCUAGCACAGCUGGAGUUUUGGGUUCCUGGAGCAGGUGGCUGGACCCUGGUGCUCCUGGCUCAGAAGGGUUGGCUUCUAGGGAAGCUUUGGCAGUAGUCACUCAACCUGGGAGGCCAGCUCCAGGCCACAGAAUUCCUUUGUGAACCUCUCUGCAGUCAGUAUUCCAGUCUUGGUUCUAGGGUACUAUGGUGGGUGGAGUUGAAAAAUGUGGUUACCAGGGAUUUGGAGCCACCCUACCCUUUUACAGUUAGCUAGAUAGUGGUACCAGACUACAAUGAGCCAGGCUCCUCCAGAACCUUCCCGUUGACUGCUGCCGCCCAUCUGCAUUUCCAGUCCAGAUGAAGAAGAAGGCUCAUGUGGUGGCUCAGUGGCCCAGACAAACCAUCAUGUGUUUCUGAAGCCCACCCCAUCCACCUCCUGGCCCCAGCUCACCAGGGCUUUCAGGGACCAGAUCAGGUUGUCAGGAAGUUAACAAGAAGAGGCAGCAGUGUGAGGACAAACAUGGCAGUGAAUGAGCAAACCCAUUCAGGUCCUGGGAGACACUGAUUCCAGGGUUCCCAGUCGACCCUACAGAGCUACAUGAGCCAGAAGCUGGUUUCAGGAUCCUUCCAUGGACUUGUUAGUUUCGUUCUUUAAAGGAUUUUAGGGAUAUUCACUAACAUGCUCAGUUAAAAGUAAUUUGUAACAUCAGACCUAUGUCCACAUGUAGUGGGACAUGCCUGUAGCCCCAGCACUAGGGAGGCUGAGGUAGAAGGACCUUGAGCUGUAGACCAGUCUGGGCUUACACAGUAAGACCCUGACUCAAAUAAAACAACCUAAAAGAAGAAUGAGAAAUCCAUUGCUUGGCCCAUAUUUGGAACAAAGGAAGAAGAGAAGUUACUGGGCAAUCUGGGGUAUUGGUCCCUGCACACUAGUCUUGGUGCCCUUCUCUCGAGAGGAACCAGGUCCAGAGUUGUAGGUGAUAAGUUGCAAUCUGGUAGCACACCCCUCCUGCAUGUAGCUCUGUGGCCCUUUCCUUCACAUCCUAGUAAGCCAGGUCCUGACUGACUGGGACCUGUGGUGCUGUCAGGGUGAGAGCAUAGAAGUUUUGAGCCUAGUGUCUUUUGGAAUUUGCAAAGCUAAAUCAUGUAGAGUUUCAAGGUGAUAAUAGUGACUGCCACGGCCAGUAAAUUACCUGACCGGUCCCUGUACAGACUCCCUGCAGGGUUUUACUGUGUUCAUCUAGGUCUCCUUGAUUUCAUUUGCCCUAAGCUAAGAACUGGUGAAUCUCAGGAUCAGCCUUGACUAUUCCUGUCCAAAUAUAAAUAUUAAACACUCCCCUAACUCCUAUACUGUUAAGCAAUGUAGGUGGUACUGUGGUGUGUUGCCACGUGAGUGCUGGAAUCUGUGCAUGGAAGUUCAUUCUGUUCAAUGGAUACCCCUUCAGGACCAGAAACUGACCACUUCUGACCUACAGAAAGUAGUUGGGAAAGACCCUUUGGGGCCCAUCUACCAAGGCUGCUGGAGUGUGGAUUUCUGUUUGAGCCCAGUGAUGUCUUUCCUUGUCUUCCUUUUGACUGUAUUUUGAAAUUGCUUUAGAUGAUUCUGUGCAAUGUUUAUGGCCUCUCCUACCCUUCUAAUGUUUGGUUAACACAGCCAGCACCCAAUGGGGAAAAACCAGGCUGCAUGGUGGUGGUGGCAAAUGCCUUUAAUCCCAGCACCUGGGAGGCAGAGGCAGGUGGCUCUCUGUGAGCCUGGUCUACAGAACUAGUUCCAGGACAGCCAGGACUUCACACAAAGAAAUGCUGUCCUAAGAAAGAAAGGAAAAAAAAAAAACGAAAGAAACCAGUGCUUACUGUGGUUAGGAGACUUUUCCCACGUUAGUUGCUGGAGUUGUUCCUGAAUCGUAACGCCAGUCUCUUCCCAGAUGUGUCUCAGUCAGUACCCAUUGUCCUGCUGAGCCAUGGCCUCUGUUACAGGUGAACCUUGUGCAAGGAGCUGCCAGUGUUGCAGUCUCCAGAGAUAGUGACUUAAUCAUUCAAGCUGUCCCUGGAGGGUGUAGGUGCUGUGGUACAGAGAACUGGUGGGCCAUGAGCAUCUUCCUUUGGCCUUCAGUGUACUUUUUAUUGAGCGACAGCUGUGAACAGUGUAAACCCUGACUGAUCUUACUCUUUUUCCAGUGUUUUGAGCUGUGAACCCAUGUGUCCCAGCACUGGCCUGUUCCUUUUUAUUUUGGUUGAAUUAUCCUCCUAUGGAAGUGGCAAAAUCUACAUCUUUACUGUCCUCACAAGCAUAGUGUGUGUUGUCACAUGCUGUGAGUGUGGGUUGUGGUGUGUGUCGGUGUGUGUACAUAUGUGUAUAUGUAUAUAUCACACAGCAGGCCUGUCAUGCCUCUGUCUGGUGGCAAAGCAACAAGUACAAUAAAAGUCAGCUCCAAAACAGCCUGUGAUUUCUUGAAGUGUUGGGCAGGGGUAGGGUCUCCUGGCAAAACACAAAAGGAAACCCUAAGUUUAUUGUGUACAUACAUGGACCUGAAUGCAUAAACCCUGGCCAGCAUUGGCUUCAGUUAUGUAUGUGGCUAGAAGGAUGACCAUACCAAAUAUAUCCCUGGGAACCAUGUGAAGGUCACCUGACCUUCAAGGAUAUGAGGGUCUAGGGCAUGACAUGACUCUUUUUCUCUUGAAACCUAAGACCAGUUUUAUGAGUACCGGAUAAAAAUCAGUAAUCUGGGUUCAUGUAAAGGAUAGCCUGGUUAGGAUCUCUAUGCUGCCAAGGAAGGGCGUGGGUCAAGUGCCCCAUAGGGUGUGCUUUUGACAUGUUCUCUAGGAAAGUGUCUCAAUACUAAGUUGGGGAAAGACAUUUUCACGUAAGAGUUUUUAAGAGCUAACUGCAAGUGCAUGUAAAGCCUGUACUACUUUUACCCACUGCUAAAGUCUUGUUUACAGCAGGGUACAAGCUUCUGUCAGUUCUGGCUGGCUGGUGUCCCUCCAGGGGCCAAGCUGAAAGCUAUGGUGGUUCCUUCCGCAUGGUGACCUGUCUAAAUGUUGAUAGCUGUUGUAUAAUAAAUGUUUUCACUGCAGACCA